GGUGGCUCAGUGGUAGAGUGCUUGCCUGACAUGCAUGAGGCCCUGGGUUCCAUUCCUCAGCACCA
rfam:Dipodomys ordii contig_29563, whole genome shotgun sequence.